CCCCGCGAUUCCGCGGCCUUGGCCACACCACGCUGGGGAUUGAAAAUCCCCGUGUCGGCGGUUCGAUUCCGUCUCUGGGAA
rnacentral:tRNA from 1 species